UACGUAGGGUGCGAGCGUUACUCGGAAUUACUGGGCGUAAAGCGUGCGCAGGCGGUUUUGUAAGCCAGGUGUGAAAUCCCCGGGCUCAACCUGGGAAUGGCAUUUGGGACUGCAAGGCUGGAGUGUGGCAGAGGAGACUGGAAUUCCUGGUGUAGCAGUGAAAUGCGUAGAUAUCAGGAGGAAUACCGAUGGCGAAGGCAGGUCUCUGGGCUGACACUGACGCUCAUGCACGAAAGCGUGGGGAGCAAACAGG
rnacentral:rRNA from 1 species